GUAACUGUAGCUUGUGGUGCUGUUUUGGUAGCUCCUGUAGUAGUAGUGGAUGUUUCAGCAAGAGUUGCAAUGGUUGUUGAGGGCACUGCUGCUGUUGUUGAUGCUGUUGUGGAGGAUUCUGGUGUUGUAACAGUAGUUUGUAGUGCUGUAGUGGUAACUCCUGCAGUAGUAGUGGAUGUUUCAGCAAGAGUUGCAAUGGUUGUUGAGGGCACUGUUGUUGUUGUUGCUGUUGUGGAGGAUUCUGCUGUUGUAACGGUAGUUUGUAGUGCUGUCGUGGUAACUCCUGCAGUAGUAGUGGAUGAUUUAUCAAGAGUUGUAAUUGUUGUUGAGGGAACUGUUGUUGUUGUUGCUGUUGUGGAGGAUUCUGCUGUUGUAACAGUAGUUUGUGGUGCUGUUGUGGUAACUCCUGCAAUAGUGGUGGAUGAUUCAGCAAGAGCUGUAAUGGUUGUUGAGGGCACUGCUGUUGUUGUAGGUGUUGUGGAGGAUUCUGCUGUUGUAACACUAGUUUGUGGGGCUGUUGUGGUUAUUCCUGCAGUAGUGGUGGAUGAUUCAGCAGGAGUAGUGAUUGUUGAGGGCACUGCUGUUGUUGUAUCUGUUGUGGAGGGUUCUGCUGUUGUAACAGUAGUUUGUGUUGCUGUUGUGGUAAUUUCUGCAGUAUUGGUGGAUGAUUCUUCAAGAGUUGUAAUGGCUGUUGAGGGCACUGCUGUUGUUGUAGGUGUUGUGGAGGAUUCUGCUGUUGUAACAGUAGAUUGUGUGGCUGUUGUGGUUGUUCCUGCAGUAGUGGUGGGUGAUUCAGCAAGAGUUGUAGUGGUUGUUGAGGGCACUGCUGUUGUGGCAGCUGUUGUGGAGGAUUCUGCUGUUGCGUCAGUAGUGUGUGGUGCUGUGGUGGUCACUCCUGCAGUAGUAGUGGAUGAUUCUGCAAGAGAUGUAAUGGCUGUUGAGGGCACUGCUGUUGUUGUAGGUGUUGUGGAGGAUUCUGCUGUUGUAUCAGUAGUUUGUGGGGCUGUUGUGGUUGUUCCUGCAGUGGUGGUGGGUGAUUCAGCUAGAGUUGUAGUGGUUGUUGAGGGAACUGCUGUUGUGGUGGAUUCAGUUGUUGUAACAGUAGAUUGUGGUGCUGUCGUGGUAACUCCUGCAGUAGUAGUGGUUGAUUCAGCAAGAGUUGUAGUGGUUGUUGAAGGAACUGCUGUUGUUGUUGCUGUUGUGGAGGAUUCAACUGUUGUAACAGUAGUUUGUGGUGCUGUUUUGGUAACUUUUACAGUAGUAGUGUAUGUUUCUGCAAGAGUUGUAAUGGUUGUUGAGGGCACUGUUGUUGUUGUUGUAGAUGUUGUGGAGGAUUCUGCUGUUGUAUCAGUAGUUUGUGGGGCUGUUGUGGAAACUCCUGCAGUAGUGGUUCCAGCAGCAGUUGAUGUCACUGUUGAAGAAUGUUUUGUGGAUGCUGUGGCUGUGCUGACAGUGGUGCUUUCAAUAGUGAUUAAAGGGGGAAUCACAGAAGUUACUGCCGUAGUUGUCGUCUGUGGCGCUGUUGUGGACACUCCUGCAGUAGUAGUUCCAGCAGGAGUUGAUGUCACUGUUGAAGGAUGUGUUGUUGUAGCUGUUGGUGCUGUGGAUGUUGUGGCUGCACUGACAGUGGUGCUUUCAAUAGUGGUUGAAGAAGGAAUCACAACAGGUACUGCAGUAGUUGUCGUCUGUAGUGCUGUUGUGGAAACUCCUGCAGUAGUGGUUCCAGCAGCAGUUGAUGUCACUGUUGAAGGAUGUGUUGUUGUAGCUGUUGGUGCUGUGGAUGUUGUGGCUGCACUGACAGUGGUGCUUUCAAUAGUGGUUAAAGAAGGACUCACAACAGGUACUGCAGUAUUUGGCGUCUGUGGUGCUGUUGUUGAAACUCCUGCAGUAGUAGUUCCAGCAGCAGUUGAUGUCACUGUUAAAGAAUGUGUUCUUGUAGCUGUUGGUGCUGUGGAUGUAGUGGCUGCACUGACAGUGGUGCUUUCAAUAGUGGUUAAAGAAGCACUCACAACAGGUACUGCAGUAGUUGUCGUCUGUGGUGCUGUUGUGGAAAUUCCUGCAGUAGUAGUUCCAGAAGCAGUUGAUGUCACUGUUGAAGGAUGUUUUGUGGAUGUUGUGGCUGUACUGAUAGUGGUGCUUUCAAUAGUGAUUGAAGGGGAAAUCAUAGAAGUUACUGCAGUAGAUGUUGUCUGUGGCGGUGUUGUGGAAACUCCUGCAGUAGUAGUUCCGGCAGGAGUUGAUGCCACUGUUGAAGGAUGUGUUGUUGUAGCUGUUGGUGCUGUGGAUGUUGUGGCUGCACUGACAGUGGUGCUUUCAAUAGUGGUUAAAGAAGGACUCACAACAGGUACUGCAGUAGUUGUCGUCUGUGGUGCUGUUGUGGAAACUCCUGCAGUAGUGGUUCCAGCAGCAGUUGAUGUCACUGCUGAAGAAUGUGUUGUGGAUGUUGUGGCUCUACUGAUAGUGGUGCUUUCGAUAGUGAUUGAAGGGGAAAUCACAGAAGUUACUGCAGUAGUUGUCGUCUGUGGCGCUGUUGUGGAAACUCCUGCAGUAGUAGUUCCAGCAAGAGUUGAUGUCACUGUUGAAGGAUGUUUUGUUGUAUCUGUUGGUGUUAUAGAUGUUGUGGCUGUACUGAAAGUGGCGCUUUCGAUAGUGUUUGAAGAAGCACUCACAACAGGUACUACAGUAGUUGUCGUCUGUGGUGCUGUUGUGGAAAUUCCUGCAGUAGUAGUUCCAGAAGCAACUGAUGUCACUGUUAAAGGAUGUGUUGUUGUAGCUGUUUGUGGAUGUGUUAUUGUAGCUGUUGGUGUUGUGGAUGUUGUGGCUGUACUGACAGUGGUGCUUUCAGCAGGGGUUGAAGUGGGGAUCACAGAAGUUACUGCAGUAGAUGUUGUUUGUGAAGCUGUUGUGGAAAAUCCUGCAGUAGUACUUCCACCAAGAAUUGUGACUACUGUUGUUGUUGCUUUUGUUGUUGAUGUUUCUGCUACACUAGUAGGGAAUAUUUCAGUUGCAGUUGUUGUAAUUGUGGAAGUGUCUGUUGUUGUUGUUGAAGCUGUUUCGGCUACACUAGUGGUGGAUGUUUCAGCAGGAGUUUUUGUGAUUGUGGAAGUCUCUGUUGAUGUUUCUGUUGCACUAUUGGUUGAUGUUUCAGCAGGAAUUGUUGUGAUUGAGGAAGUCUCUGUUGUUGAAGAUAUUUCUGCUACACUAAUGGUGGAUGUUUCAGCAGGACUCAAGAUUGUGGAAGUCUCUUUUGUAGUAGAUGUUUCUGCUUCACUAGGGGUGGAUAUUUCAGGUGUAGUUGUGAUUGUUAAAGUCUCUAAUGUUGUAGAUGUUUCUGCUACAAUGAGAGUAGAGGUUUCAGCUGGAAUUGUUGUGAUUGUGGAGGUCUCUGUUGUUGUAGAUGUUUCUACUUCACUAGUGGUGGAUGUUUCAGGAGGUGUCGUUAUUGUGGAAGUUUCUUCUGAAGUAGAUGUUUCUGCUUCAGUAGUGGUUGAUGUUUCAGCAGGCGUAGUGAUUGUGGAAGUCUCUGUUGUUUUAGAUGUUUCUGCUACACUAAUGGUGGAUGUUUCAGCAGGACUCGUGAUUGAGGAAGUGUCUUUUGUAGUAGAUGUUUCUGUUUGACUAGUGGUGGAUAUUUCAGGUGUAGCUGUGAUUGUUGAAGUCUCUGUUGUUCUAGAUGUUUCUGCUAAAAUGAUAGUGGAUGUUUCAGCUGGAAUUGUUGUGAUUGUGGAACUCUCUGUUGUUGUAGAUGUUUCUGCUACACUGAUAAUAGAGGUUUCAGCAGGAAUUGUUGUGAUUGUGGAAGUAUCUGUUCUUGCAGAUGUUUCUACUUCACUAAUUGUGGAUGUUUCAAUGGCAGUUGUUGUGAGUGUGGAAGUCUCUGUUGUUGUAGAUGUUUCUGCUACACUGAUAGUAGAGGCUUCAGCAGGAAUUGUUGAGAUUGUGGAAGUAACUAUUGGUGUAGAUGUUCCUGCAGCACUAGUGGUGGAUAUUUCAGCAGGAAUUGUUGUGAUUUUGGAAGUCUCUGUUGUUGACGACGUAUCUGUAGCACUAGUGGUAAAUGUUUCAGCAGGAAUUGUUGUGAUUGUGGAAGUAUCUGUUCUUGUAUAUGUUUCUACUGGCCUAAUUGUGGAUGUUUUAACCACAGUUGUUGUGAGUGUGGAAGUCUCUGUUGUUGAAGAUAUUUCUGCUUCACUAGUGGUGGAUAUUUCAGCAGGUGUCGUUUUUGUGGAAGUCUCUUUUGUAGUAGAUGUUUCUGCUACACUGAUACUAGAGGUUUCCACAGCAAUUGUUGUAAUUGUGGAAGUCUCUGUUGUUGUAGAUGUUUCUGCUGCACUAGUGGUGGAUGUUUUAGCAGGAGUGGCUGUGAGUGUGGAUGUCUCUGUUGUUGUAGAUGUUUCUGCUAAACUAAAAGUGGAUGUUUCAACUGGAUUUGUUAUGAUUGUGGAAAUCUCUGUUGUUGUAGAUGUUUCUACUUCAAUAGUGUUGGAAGUUUCAGGAGGUGUCGGUAUUGUGGAAGUCUCUGUGCUUGUAGAUGUUUCUGAUGCAUUAGUGGUGGAUGAUUCGGCAGGAUUUGUUGUGAUUGUGGAAGUCUCUUUUGACGUAGAUGUUUCUGCUUCAG
ensembl:lncRNA